UAUUUUGGAAGAGAUGCAUUUAUUAGAUAAAAAACCAAUACAUACUUUUUCAAGUAUGAAAUUUGGUGAUUUACAAUAACUUAGCAAAUCGCAUAGUGAAAACAGGCGAUAAAUCAUUCAAGUCUCUGACCUAUCAGCUUUCGACGGUAUGGUAUUGGCUUACCGUGGCAGUGACGGUUAACGGGGGAUUAGGGUUCGAUUCCGGAGAGGGAGCCUGAGAAACGGCUACCACAUCUAAGGAAGGCAGCAGGCGCGCAAAUUACCCAACCUAACAGCAUAAGAGAGGUAGUGACAAGAAAUAACAAUACAAGGCAGUUAAAAUGCUUUGUAAUCGGAAUGAUAGAAAUUUAAACACUUUUUAAAGUAUCAAUUGGAGGGCAAGUCUGGUGCCAGCAGCCGCGGUAAUUCCAGCUCCAAUAGCGUAUAUUAAAAUUGUUGCAGUUAAAAAGCUCGUAGUUGAAUUUCUGUUAAAAAUAACCGGUCUGCUUUUAAUAAAAGUGGUAUCUUGGUGUGUUUUUAGCAAUAAUGUCCUUUGAAAUGUUUUUUACUUUAUUGUAAUAAAUAAUAUUCAGGAUUUUUACUUUGAGAAAAUUAGAGUGUUUCUAGCAGGCUAACGCUUUGAAUACUGCAGCAUGGAAUAAUAAAAUAGGAUUUUAGUUCUACAUUAUUGGUUUUAAGAACUAAAUUAAUGAUUGAUAGGGACAGUUGGGGGCAUUUGUAUUUAACUGUCAGAGGUGAAAUUCUUAGAUUUGUUAAAGACAAACUACUGCGAAAGCAUUUGCCAAAGAUGUUUUCAUUAAUCAAGAACG
rnacentral:rRNA from 1 species